rnacentral:rRNA from 13 species
AGCUACUAAGUGCGAUCGGUGGAUGCCUUGGCACCAAGAGCCGAUGAAGGACGUUGUGACCUGCGAUAAGCCCUGGGGAGUUGGUGAGCGAGCUGUGAUCCGGGGGUGUCCGAAUGGGGAAACCUGGAAUGUCCGGAGUAGUGUCCGGUGGCCCUGCCCUGAAUGUAUAGGGGUGUGGGUGGUAACGCGGGGAAGUGAAACAUCUUAGUACCCGUAGGAAGAGAAAACAAGUGUGAUUCCGUGAGUAGUGGCGAGCGAAAGCGGAGGAGGCUAAACCGUGUGUGUGUUCAAGCCGGCAGGCGUUGCAUGUGCGGGGUUGUGGGGGCC